UAUAAGUGUAGCCACGAACUUUCGUAUUCAACUUUAAUCGUCCGUUUUAUUUAAAAAUUUUUUAUGAUUAGUAUUUUUAUCGUUAUUAGAUGAUAAAAUAUAAAUAGUACUUUAUGCGUGAUUUAUGUUUUUAAAGUUUUUCAAAAGUUUUUAAAUAAAACGGACGAUUAAAGUUGGACACGGAAAGCCAUGGUUGAAUUGUAA
rfam:Oryza barthii chromosome 7, whole genome shotgun sequence.